rnacentral:tRNA from 1 species
GAAAUAUGUUGUAUCAAAUAAAAGCUGCUAACUUUUUAUUUUAAUAGUUAAAUUCUAUUUAUAUUUCU